UCUACAGUGACCUGUUAGGACUCCGGUCAGAUCUGCUAUAAUCCCUCUGUGAGGGGACAGCAGCCAUGCUAUCCUAGCUUUAGUUGAAUUUAAUAGCUGCUCUUUGAUCUGCCGGCAGCCACUGUUUAUACUCCAAUUUUCAAUAGUCUUUUCCCAUGCCCAGUUGUCCAGGAUCGAACACCUCGAGAUCCAUCCACCAGACCACCGAGCCGCCAAUUACUUUAGGUCUCAUCACAGGAGUAGGUAGCUAGUGUAGGAUAUUGGGCUCCAUACGCCACUACCUACUACCUACCCUUUGAGCUUCCUACCAACUACUCUUUGAAAGUGCGACAAAAUGACAAUUUCUUUGUGGACUACCUAAGUGACGUAUUUACUACACGUUAGCUUGCUGUCCAGCCUAAGUAUUUGACUAAGACGACGAAGUACUUGACCUUUUGCUUGACUUGCACGAGAUAAUUUAGUGUAUCUUCUUUAGUGCUUUCUCCUAUCUUUAAAGAGCCUAUUUGACGUCUUCUAUCCGAGUCAAGAAGUUUGACCAGGCUGGGGGAAUCAGACAUUGUUUCGAGUACACUACAGAAUAUUUGCCAGGUAGCUCUUUUGUUUCUUCUCAUUUCGUCCUUAACGCGAUUUUCCACCUGUAUACUCAUCCAAACCCUCUUGGUAUCCUUUCCGAAAUAAGCUCGUAGUAACUAUGCAAUUUUUCAGCUUGUAAUUUUUUAGAUACUUGCACACUUUUUAGAUACUAACACACCGCGGGUGAACUAGAACGGGGACCCCAGGGUCGCAGCUGCGGGUCUGAUUCACCCUCUGCCCCCGCGCCUAUUGCACCACGGCAAUUAUUCGGUUCAUUUAUCUUUCUAAAUAUGAAAUUUGGAACUGUACUGUUACUGUGCAUAAUAAUAUUACAAAAAAAUUGAAUUUUGAAAUAUUUCUUUAUCUUUGUUGGCAUCCGAGAAAAAUCGAAUUUUCUGUAUUUAUGUUUUGUUAUGAAAGACAGCACAAAUUAAUGCCAAAUUAGUAAUAUACCAUUAUUUAGUAGACGCAUUCCAAGUAUUUUCAACACUUAUUGGCGAUUUGUAGCCUGCGCUUCACUUUUUAGAAACCGUCCGUCAUUUCAUCGGAUUAAUGAUAAGAUUUUGGCAUUAACUUUAAAACGGCAUCAGCAUCUACUCUCUAUUAAUAGUAAAAGUGGCUUCGUCUGAAAGUAACAGUCUGAAAUUAUUUGUUCCUUAUCAAGCAAAUUCUUCAUGGCUUUGCAAAAUUCUCACCUACGAUCAGGAUCGUCCUCUAGCAGCUCCUGCACCUUCUUCAUUUUAAAAGCUCUUUUUCCUGCUGACUUUGAGAGAUUUUUAAAACUAUUUUGUGACAUACAUCGUACUCCCGAGCUACUUGCCUUGCCGGAAUAAUAGGUAUAAUAUCUAGAUUUGUAUCCUCGCUCGAUGGUUCUGUCUACGAGUUCUAAUUGCUCCUCAAUUUUACUCACGGUACUUUGACUCAGUGGGAGCAAAUUAGGAUAAGUUUCACGAAAUAGCGCCACAACUUUAUUUUCAGUUCUCAUCCGGUUUACACCCUAAUCAUCAUUAGUAUUUCGAUUUUUAAACCUUCUGUUAAGUACGGCAUUUUAGCUAAAUAAAUACUAAUUAAUAAAUACAGGGUACUUACUGUAGCAAAGAACACUUUUCUAAUACUAAUUCAACAAUUUUUAACACCUUCCCAUUAUUUAAUUCGAUUUAUUUCACAAAAACCUGUUUGUACGUUUUUUUAUUAAACAAAAAAUUGAAUUUUUGUUUAAUAAAUAUAUAUUUCUUUCACUUAAAGGUGAUCAUUUACGGCGGUGGCUUGUACAGGGUGGCCAAAUAGGCGAGGUAAGCGGUUGUAUCUCAGGACCUGUACAUCUGGCAACAAUGGAAUUUUUUUUAUUAUUAUAAAAGUGGCGCAACUAAAAAUGAAAUAAACGAAACGUCUUUUUCUCCGAAAACUUAAAUAUUAACCUAUACUUUUGAUAUUAUUUUUAGUAAGCCUAGAUAAUUUGCUAUAAAUUUGGUUUAUGAAUUAUUGACGUACGAACGAUAGUAGGGGUGGGGGAAGCUAUUGAAAGUGGAAUCAUUAAAAUCGGUGUAAAUUCUAAACUACUUAUUCGAUUUGAGCAAUUCAAAAUUUAUUUGCAAGAUAAAUGUAGCUGCUUUAAAAGUCUGAUCUCAUUGCUACCCUAUAGUUCCUAAUAAAACCGCCAGAGGGCGCAAUUUGUUAUAAUUCCAGUUUUUUCAUUUUGCUUUAAAAAUUCAAAUAGAAUGGUAUAUUUUUGACAUUCUAUUUAAAAAGUAAAUAAAAUUUGCAAAAGUACUGUAAAAACCGCACGAUGAUAUCUUUGCUCGUUUUAAAGUUAUAGCGAAUUAAAGUUUUUUACGCACCGAGCCUAAACUUGUGUGUCCCGCCUAAAAAUCUCUAAUUAGUAUUACCACAACUAGAAUACCAUGAUGUUGUCAUAAUUAAUAAAUUAUUAUAGUAGUAAUUGAUUGAUAAAUAAUAAAUUAAUAAUACCUAUGUGUCACAGAAUAACUGGAAGUUUAUGUGACUUUCUUAAGGCGAAUAAUUUUAUUAACGAAUUUCUUUUUAUAUUUAAAUUAUGGUCCUGAAAAGGACCGAUUUUAAACCCAAUCAUAUUUGGUAUUUAAUGCCUCGAUAGGUGUUCAAUGUAUUACUUUGGCGUUAUGUAUAAAACAGUUGAAAAUAGCAAAAUAUCAAUCGGGUGUUAAGCAAGCAAUCAUUGCUAAGCAGUUAGGAUUAAACCGCUCAGUGGUUUCCAAAACCAUAAAGUUACACUGCAUUAGGAACUUUAUUAUUAUAAAAGUGGCGCAACUAAAAAUGAAAUAAACGAAACGUCUUUUUCUCCGAAAACUUAAAUAUUAACCUAUACUUUUGAUAUUAUUUUUAGUAAGCCUAGAUAAUUUGCUAUAAAUUUGGUUUAUGAAUUAUUGACGUACGAACGAUAGUAGGGGUGGGGGAAGCUAUUGAAAGUGGAAUCAUUAAAAUCGGUGUAAAUUCUAAACUACUUAUUCGAUUUGAGCAAUUCAAAAUUUAUUUGCAAGAUAAAUGUAGCUGCUUUAAAAGUCUGAUCUCAUUGCUACCCUAUAGUUCCUAAUAAAAGCGCCAGAGGGCGCAAUUUGUUAUAAUUCCAGUUUUUUCAUUUUGCUUUAAAAAUUCAAAUAGAAUGGUAUAUUUUUGACAUUCUAUUUAAAAAGUAAAUAACAUUUGCAAAAGUACUGUAAAAACCGCACGAUGAUAUCUUUGCUCGUUUUAAAGUUAUAGCGAAUUAAAGUUUUUUACGCAUCGAGCCUAAACUUGUGUGUCCCGCCUAAAAAUCUCUAAUUAGUAUUACCACAACUAGAAUACCAUGAUGUUGUCAUAAUUAAUAAAUUAUUAUAGUAGUAAUUGAUUGAUAAAUAAUAAAUUAAUAAUACCUAUGUGUCACAGAAUAACUGGAAGUUUAUGUGACUUUCUUAAGGCGAAUAAUUUUAUUAACGAAUUUCUUUUUAUAUUUAAAUUAUGGUCCUGAAAAGGACCGAUUUUAAACCCAAUCAUAUUUGGUAUUUAAUGCCUCGAUAGGUGUUCAAUGUAUUACUUUGGCGUUAUGUAUAAAACAGUUGAAAAUAGCAAAAUAUCAAUCGGGUGUUAAGCAAGCAAUCAUUGCUAAGCAGUUAGGAUUAAACCGCUCAGUGGUUUCCAAAACCAUAAAGUUACACUGCAUUAGGAACUCAUUAAUAAGUCCACCUAAAACUGGUAGGCCUAGAAAAACGACGCCUAGAGUUGACGAGAAGAUUAAAUCCUUAGCUCUUAAAAAUCGAUUUAACACAGCAGUGGAUAUAAAAUCUCAACUAGACGAUGUAAAUAUUAGUGUCCCUUUCCAAUUUAUAAACUUUGUUUUGGCGGUAUGUGCAAAAUUCAUCCAACUGCUCAGGAAAAAUGCGGUAUCUUCUUAAUGCCUAACGAAUACGCGGCAAGUGCGCGUGGAUCGGACGCAUUUGCCGCUUUUUCGCUAAGCAGGCCGUAGUUGCCGCGAUUUUGCUGAGUAAAUUUAGUCGUUAAUUGGUAUCGCUGCAAAGUGGAUUGAUCAAAAAUCAAAGUUAAUAGAUUUUUGCAAAACCCUUGCAAAAGAUUCAGUCAAUAAUAAUGGCUUUAACAAUUGCUGGGAUCAUAAAAAAAGGUAAGUAAUGCUAUUUAAUUAGUAUUAUUCGUAAUAAUUUAUAUCAGUUACCAAAGGUAUGACGAUAAAAAGUUAGUACCCUAAUUUAUUAAAAUUCUAGAACGGAAAAUGAUUCUCAGAUGGAUAUCAACAGUAUUGAAGGCUCAGAGUAUAUUUUACAUACUUUACAACCUGCAGCUUUGCCGGAAUCGUGUCGGGGGGGGGGAGGGGGGGUUAUAAAACUGGACUUGCCAUGCACAUUAAUAAAUGACAAAGUGAUUUCUUGGAUAAAUAAUGAAGUGUACCACGCGAAUCCUAACAUUAAUGAUGAACAGAAAAAUACAAUGGAAGUAGAAAACAUAAACUUAAAUGAUUGCUAUUAUGAUAGCAACACAUCAAGUUUAUUAACAUCUGGCCAAUCCAUUCCUUACAAUAAUAAUUGUAAUCAAGUGACUGAUGAUGUUUUAGAAAUAGGAAGUAAUGAAGAGCAGACCAACUUAGCCAUAACAAUAAAUGAGGCAAGUGGUGAUAUUAUACCAAACAGAUCUGAAGUUAACGAUGUAACUUCUUAUAAUUUGAACCCUGUUGUCGUUGAUGACGGUUUAAUAAUAAAUAAUGAGGAAGCAAGCCUGAAAAAGAUUUAAAUAUUAGAAACUGUACCGCACUAUCUUAUACCAAGGAAAGCUCGAACGAUGAUUCUCAGAAUGUACCUCCUAUGCUUAUAACGGAAAAAUUUGUUGCGAAUCCUGAUCCGAAUGGACUGAAUAACAAUGAAACUAAUGAAGACCGGACAACAGCUAUUACAAUAAAUGGGGCAAGUGGUGACAUUGCUUCGAUAUCUAAUAAUAACGCACUGAAUAAUAAUGAUGAAUCUCGUGAACCUGCAGGAAACAAAAAAAGAAAAAAAACCGUCAUUGAUUUUGAAGCCAGAAAAACUCUCAAGAGGGAAAAGAUUGCUGAAAAUCAUAAGGUUUUACCAGGUUGUGCUGAUAAUUGCAAAAAAAAAUGUUCAUCUGCAUUUGAUCGACGUAGGAGAGAAGGAAUUAAUACGCAAUUUUGAAAAUUGUCCGAUCCCGAAAGAAAGUCUUUUUUUUUAGUUCAAGUGAGCGAUUGCAAACAAAACGAACCACUGGAGAAAAGCCAACAAUGCAAAAUACUUUUAAAUAUUGGCUUUUAAUUAUAUACUUUUAAUUAUAUGGCUCCGUAAAACGGCGUAAAUAAAAGUGUUCCGAGUGCAUAUAAAUUCUGAAAAACAGUGAAUCUAUAAAAUAGAUAGUGUCUUACUUAGCUAAACAUAAUUAUUUUCACCAAAAACAUCCAAUUUGCUGCAAAAUUGUCAUUGUUUAUGUUUGUGUUGAACCCGCGCAAGAAUGCAUUAACAAUGGAAUAAAGUAGCUACGUUCCAAUUUUAAAAUCGAAAAUUUCGAAAUGGAGUGCGAUGUUUGCAAGCAAGUUACGCGAACAUUUAAAUGUGACAACUGUUUGAAGAGAUUGUGUAAGGGUUGUGCAGCUCUUACGUCCUCUGAAGUAAAAGUGAUAGAAUUAAAAGAUCGUGUUAUGAAGUUCUUCUGCAAAAAUUGCAAUGACUUUCACGGACUUAAACUUUUGAAUGAUCUUGUACAAAGCAAGCAAGAAAUAAUAUUAAGUAAGGAUGAAAUAAUCUCACUUCUUAAGCAAGAAAUAAAAGACUUAAAGUCAAAAAUCGAAGCCAUCCAAGCACCAGCAAUACCAUCAUUUGCAGAGGUUGUAAACAACAAAUCAUCCAUACCAAUAAAAACAAAAAAUCGGCCAAACUUAAUUAUAAAACCGAAGGGCACACAGGACUCUCAAGAAACAAAAACCGAUAUAAUGGAGAACAUCAAACCAGCAGAUAUUAAUGUAAGUAUUGAUAAAAGCCGAUCUUCACACCACGGAAGUUUAAUAAUUAAAUGCAAUGACACAGAGAGUGUUACGAAACUAAAAAAUGAAAUUAAACAAAAACUGGGUGAUUACUAUGAGGUAGAGGAAACAAAAUUACGGAAUCCGCAGGUCAAAAUAGUUGGAUAUCCUGCCAAGAAUAAAUCAGCAACUGAAGAAAUUGAAAAAUCUAUAAGAAUGCAAAAUACAUUUUUUAAUAAUGAAGAUUCAUUUAAAAUUACCUUUAUGAAGGAAACUAAAUUAAAUAAAAAAAACCAUCUUCGCCGACUGUUCCCCAAACCUCUUUAAAAAAAUCAUGUGGACCAAAAAAAUAUACAUUGGAUGGGAACGAUACCCUGCAUAUGAAAAUUUAGCAGUAAAACAGUGUUUUAAAGGUUGUGGAUAUUACCACAAAAGUCCAGACUGCCCAAAUGAAACCACCUGUUCAUACUGUGGAGGAGAACAUAAUCGAAAGGACUGUCACUUAACCCAAAAUAAAGAAAAUAGGAAAUGCGUGAAUUGUGAACAUUCAAAUAAAAAAUAUAAAACGAACCAUAAUCUCAAACAUGAUGCCACGGAUUCUGAAUGCCCCACAAACCUAUACCAUCUAGAAGUAUUAAAAAGUAAAAUAAAUUAUGGCUAGACAACAAGAAGUGGAGCUGCUUGAAACGAUAUCCAGUGAAAUUUUUAGUGAAACUGUGGAGCCUGUAGAGAUCUGUGGUAAAAUAGACACAGAUAAAAAACUUUUAAAUAUAAUGCAUGUUAACAUAAGAAGUGUAAAAAAAACUUUGAUGAACUGUUACUUUUUUUAGAGACUUUCAAAAUUUCUUUCUGUGAUGUUAUAGUCCUAAGUGAAUGUUUUCAACUCACCUCUUUUUUAGAAUUUACUAUUCAAGGCUUUACCACUCACUAUAGUAAUGGAAAUAUCACACGAAAUGAUGGUGUUCUUAUUAUGGUAAGAGACAAUCUAAAUGCUAAAGUGGCAUUUCACGAACUUGAUUCCACUAAAAUAAAGGUGGGUCGAAUAACUUUGGAACAUAAAAAUGUGCACUAUGAAAUCUCUUGUAUCUAUCGAUCUCCUCACUCAUCUAUCGAAAAUUUUGUACAGGAUCUUAAUGUAUAUUUUACAGGAAAGUCAGGAAACAAGUCAAAUAAUGUUGAAAUUUUAGUUGGAGACAUAAAUAUUAACCUCUUAACUAAUACUGAUUUAAACGUGGUAAAUUACAUUUCAACAUUUCAUAACAAGUUCAACAAGUUCAUAUGGUUUUCAAUCACAUAUAAACUCAAUCACCAGGCCAGAAUCAGGCACAUGUUUAGAUCAUAUAUUUGUAAAGAACAAUAAUAAAAUAAUUAACAUUCACACAAAACCGUAUAUAAUAAAUUAUGAUAUAACGGAUCAUUUUCCAAUAAUGUUAAAUUUUUCACAUGCUUUAAAUAUUAAGAGAAUAGAAAAUAUUGUAAAAACUGAUGUUAAAAAUAAAAUAAAUUACAUAAAACUAAAUUAUUUAUUUGAGAAUGAAAAUUGGAAUGACGUGUCUAAAACAAACAAUC
rnacentral:misc_RNA from 1 species